AUUGAACGCUGGCGGCAUGCCUUACACAUGCAAGUCGAACGGCAGCACGGGAGCAAUCCUGGUGGCGAGUGGCGAACGGGUGAGUAAUACAUCGGAACGUGCCCAAUCGUGGGGGAUAACGCAGCGAAAGCUGUGCUAAUACCGCAUACGAUCUACGGAUGAAAGCAGGGGAUCGCAAGACCUUGCGCGAAUGGAGCGGCCGAUGGCAGAUUAGGUAGUUGGUGAGGUAAAGGCUCACCAAGCCGUCGAUCUGUAGCUGGUCUGAGAGGACGACCAGCCACACUGGGACUGAGACACGGCCCAGACUCCUACGGGAGGCAGCAGUGGGGAAUUUUGGACAAUGGGCGAAAGCCUGAUCCAGCCAUGCCGCGUGCAGGAUGAAGGCCUUCGGGUUGUAAACUGCUUUUGUACGGAACGAAACGGCCUUUUCUAAUAAAGAGGGCUAAUGACGGUACCGUAAGAAUAAGCACCGGCUAACUACGUGCCAGCAGCCGCGGUAAUACGUAGGGUGCAAGCGUUAAUCGGAAUUACUGGGCGUAAAGCGUGCGCAGGCGGUUAUGUAAGACAGUUGUGAAAUCCCCGGGCUCAACCUGGGAACUGCAUCUGUGACUGUAUAGCUAGAGUACGGUAGAGGGGGAUGGAAUUCCGCGUGUAGCAGUGAAAUGCGUAGAUAUGCGGAGGAACACCGAUGGCGAAGGCAAUCCCCUGGACCUGUACUGACGCUCAUGCACGAAAGCGUGGGGUGCAAACAGG
rnacentral:rRNA from 1 species